AUUGAACGCUGGCGGCAGGCCUAACACAUGCAAGCCGAGCGAGCGGCGGACGGGUGAGUAAUGUAUGGGGAUCUGCACGGUAGAGGGGGAUAACUACUGGAAACGGUUGCUAAUACCGCAUACUGUCGGAUCAACCCAUAUGGGAUUAGCUAGUAGGUGGGGUAAAGGCUCACCUAGGCGACGAUCCCUAGCUGGUCUGAGAGGAUGAUCAGCCACACUGGGACUGAGACACGGCCCAGACUCCUACGGGAGGCAGCAGUGGGGAAUAUUGCACAAUGGGCGCAAGCCUGAUGCAGCCAUGCCGCGUGUAUGAAGAAGGCCCUAGGGUUGUAAAGUACUUUCAGCGGGGAGGCGUUACCCGCAGAAGAAGCACCGGCUAACUCCGUGCCAGCAGCCGCGGUAAUUC
rnacentral:rRNA from 1 species